rnacentral:misc_RNA from 1 species
UCCGGUUUGUCACCGGCAGUCCCAUUAGAGUGCUCAACUGAAUGUGGCAACUAAUGGCAAGGGUUGCGCUCGUUGCGGGACUUAACCCAACAUCUCACGACACGAGCUGACGACAGCCAUGCAGCACCUGUGUUACGGCUCUCUUUCGAGCACCCUCACAUCUCUAUGAGGUUCCGUACAUGUCAAGGGUAGGUAAGGUGGGGAUGACGUGACACGCAAUAACA